rnacentral:rRNA from 1 species
UACGUAGGGUGCAGACGUAUUGAAUUGAUCUGGGCGUAAAGCGUGCGCAGGCGGUUUUGUAAGACCGAUGUGAAAUCCCCAGGCUCAACCUGGGAACUGCAUUCGAGACUGCAUUGCUAGAGUAUGGGAGAGGGAAGUGGAAUUUCCGGUGUAGCGGUGAAAUGCGUAGAUAUCGGAAGGAACAUCAGUGGCGAAAGCGACUUCCUGGACCAAUACUGACGCUCAUGUGCGAAAGCGUGGGGAGCAAACAGG